GACGAACGCUGGCGGCGUGCCUAAUACAUGCAAGUUGAGCGCUGAAGGUUGGUACUUGUACCGACUGGAUGAGCAGCGAACGGGUGAGUAACGCGUGGGGAAUCUGCCUUUGAGCGGGGGACAACAUUUGGAAACGAAUGCUAAUACCGCAUAAAAACUUUAAACACAAGUUUUAAGUUUGAAAGAUGCAAUUGCAUCACUCAAAGAUGAUCCCGCGUUGUAUUAGCUAGUUGGUGAGGUAAAGGCUCACCAAGGCGAUGAUACAUAGCCGACCUGAGAGGGUGAUCGGCCACAUUGGGACUGAGACACGGCCCAAACUCCUACGGGAGGCAGCAGUAGGGAAUCUUCGGCAAUGGACGAAAGUCUGACCGAGCAACGCCGCGUGAGUGAAGAAGGUUUUCGGAUCGUAAAACUCUGUUGGUAGAGAAGAACGUUGGUGAGAGUGGAAAGCUCAUCAAGUGACGGUAACUACCCAGAAAGGGACGGCUAACUACGUGCCAGCAGCCGCGGUAAUACGUAGGUCUCGAGCGUUGUCCGGAUUUAUUGGGCGUAAAGCGAGCGCAGGUGGUUUAUUAAGUCUGGUGUAAAAGGCAGUGGCUCAACCAUUGUAUGCAUUGGAAACUGGUAGACUUGAGUGCAGGAGAGGAGAGUGGAAUUCCAUGUGUAGCGGUGAAAUGCGUAGAUAUAUGGAGGAACACCGGUGGCGAAAGCGGCUCUCUGGCCUGUAACUGACACUGAGGCUCGAAAGCGUGGGGAGCAAACAGGAUUAGAUACCCUGGUAGUCCACGCCGUAAACGAUGAGUGCUAGAUGUAGGGAGCUAUAAGUUCUCUGUAUCGCAGCUAACGCAAUAAGCACUCCGCCUGGGGAGUACGACCGCAAGGUUGAAACUCAAAGGAGUUGACGGGGGCCCGCACAAGCGGUGGAGCAUGUGGUUUAAUUCGAAGCAACGCGAAGAACCUUACCAGGUCUUGACAUACUCGUGCUAUUCCUAGAGAUAGGAAGUUCCUUCGGGACACGGGAUACAGGUGGUGCAUGGUUGUCGUCAGCUCGUGUCGUGAGAUGUUGGGCUAAGUCCCGCAACGAGCGCAACCCCUAUUGUUAGUUGCCAUCAUUAAGUAGGGCACUCUAACGAGACUGCCGGUGAUAAACCGGAGGAAGGUGGGGAUGACGUCAAAUCAUCAUGCCCCUUAUGACCUGGGCUACACACGUGCUACAAUGGAUGGUACAACGAGUCGCGAGACAGUGAUGUUUAGCUAAUCUCUUAAAACCAUUCUCAGUUCGGAUUGUAGGCUGCAACUCGCCUACAUGAAGUCGGAAUCGCUAGUAAUCGCGGAUCAGCACGCCGCGGUGAAUACGUUCCCGGGCCU
rnacentral:rRNA from 1 species